GACGAACGCUGGCGGCGUGCCUAAUACAUGCAAGUCGAGCGAAGUGUUUCUGGUGCUUGCACCGGAAAAACUGAGCGGCGAACGUGUGAGUCACACGUAAAGAACCUCCCUCAUAGACUGGGACAACUAUUGGAAACGAUAGCUAAUCCCGGAUAAUAGCAUUAACUGCAUGGUUGAUGUUUAAAAGUGGGUUUUGCUAACACUAUGAGAUGGCUUUGCGGUGCAUUAGCUAGUUGGUGGGGUAACGGCUUACCAAGGCGACGAUGCAUAGCCGACCUGAGAGGGUGAUCGGCCACACUGGAACUGAGACACGGCCCAGACUCCUACGGGAGGCAGCAGUAGGGAAUCUUCCGCAAUGGGCGAAAGCCUGACGGAGCAACGCCGCGUGAGUGAAGAAGGACUUCGGUUCGUAAAGCUCUGUUAUUAGGGAAGAAUGAAUGUGUAGUAACUAUACACAGUAGAGACGGUACCUAACCAGAAAGCCACGGCUAACUACGUG
rnacentral:rRNA from 1 species